rnacentral:lncRNA from 1 species
GGCUGAACCUGCAGCAUAUGGAAGUUUCUGGGCUAGGGGUCCAAACAGAACUGCAGUUGCCAGCCUGCAGCUGCCACAGCCACAGGCAGCACCAGACCCAAGCCACAUCAGCGAUCUAUACCGCAGGUUGUGGAAACACUGGAUCCUUAACCCACUGAGCAAGGCCAGGGAUUGAACCUGCAUCCUCAUGGAUACGAGUGGUAUUCUUAACCCACUGAACCACACCAGGAAUUUCCCCAAAAUUUUCUUAGCUGGGAAAGAGAAGCAUGAAAAAUGGGAAGUCUCACAUAACUGCCAUCACCAAUGGCUAGCCAGUAUCCAGAACAGGGGCUAAUAUUAGGGCCUCACUAUGCCCUGUUAUAAGAAGCACAACUAAAUCAGGAAGCCAAUAAUUCCUCUAAAAGCAACAACCUUCCAGGAUGGCGAAGACCAGACUCUCAUUUGGCUGCAUUUUUCACAGUUCCCAGUUCACCUCUUCCUUUUGGGCCAUCCAAGAUUAUACCAUCACCACUAACGAUUUCAAAAGUGGGACACAGAUUCCCGUUGCUCUCAACAGGACUCAACCCCUGGACUACAUUUAGCUGCUACACGACAUGUAGGGGACAAUUUAAAGGAUACCCAUAGAACUGAAAUAACACCCUCUCCUAAGAGAAAAUAACAGAUGGCUUGGCAGAUAAUGAUCUUUAACUGACAGGCUACACAGUAACGAGGCCAGUGCUGGGAGCACUUGGUGUUGGCAACCAGUGAUGAACGAGAAUCAUGUUUCCUUGGAGGACAAGGGAGACAGUUUCUACAGACUGGGGGGAAUCCGGAGGGAGGAGCAAAUGCAACUCUCUCCACUCAAGGAAGGGGCUUUCACCAUUAUCUUCCUUUUGAGUCCAUCAUUUCAAACCAGCUGGUGUAGAAAAAGCUGUUACCCGGAUCAUGGCUUUAGUGGCGAGGUGGGGGUAUUGGGGUGCAGAAAAGCCCAGAUCAUGCCUUUGCUCAUUCUUGUCCAAGUGUCAACCAGACAUGGCCUGACUAUGGAAGCAGCCAGCUCUUUGUUGACUGCUGGGAGGUGGUAUGGCAUUUCCAAGAACAAAUUGCAGCACACCUGCCAUGUCAGAGGGAUGGGUAGUGGAAAUUAGGUAACAGGCCAUCAUGGUCACUUCUAGAUGCCUCUCUGAUGACUUGAGCACCAUCUAAGUACAUCCUGCUAGAUCAGCUUGACAACUCUUGGCUCCUGAAGUCCUGGGCUGGCAACAAGGCACGCACAGCUGGAGCUCAGUUUAAUAGUGUAAUCAAGGAAAGGUGAUAGCAGCUGAAAUAUUUUAAUGUUUCAAUGCCCUUCUGCCACUAAUACUUUAUUUUUCACAUUUGCUACAUGAUUUCAUCAUAUUUGCAAAAGGGGAUUCAACAAGAGUCAGAGGUGGAGCAAACUUUACUCUGUAGAUUUACAGGUUCCUUCAGCAAAUCUCCCUAAAUAUUCCAGAGACGCUAACAAAAGUUGAUUUGCUUGCUAGGGCACCGAUGCUCUUUUUAGAAGACAUUUUUUUUACUGCUUAUUUUUCCAAUCUAAAGUAGAGUUUAUAUUACUAGAGGAAAUGAGGCAAAAGAGAUUCACUUAAAACAUUAAUGAAAUUAAAUGAUUCUUGGCACAAAAACCAACAUUGCUAUAGACAUUACCUUCUACCUGCUCAACAGUGUUAAGAGCAGCUCACCUCAUAUCUCAUCCUGCAAUUAGUUUAUGAACGAGCCAAUCUUUUUACUUAUAUUUAGAAUCCAACUGAUAACCUCACUAAGAUGACAAUGUGCAAAAGAGAUGUUUCUUAGGGGAUUAAGCAGGGAGAAAAGAAAACAAUAAAGGCAAUGUACUUACCUGCAGGGAUAUUUUUAAAGUCAUCCUGAAUUUCAAAUUUGGCUUGUUUUGGUUUAAGCGCAAAGACUAAUCUGAACUAUAAUCUUUGGCUCCUCGGGGUAAACGCCAUUCCUCCACGGGACACACCUUUAAGUUUUGAUAUUUAUUUCUGCAGGUUUCCACGGUCUUUGAGGAAGUUGUCAAAAGCAAAAGACUGUCCUUUAAAAAAAAAAAAAGAGCCCGCGAUGUCCAGAACAUAAGCAGCAAAGGAAAAAGCAAACCUCUCCCAAACUAGUAUCUAAUUCAGAAGUGUAACGGCGCCCCUAUCUCCGUCUGUAGGCGUCUUCUGGUGACAUUUCCCAUCAUCCAGCCAGGGCCGUUUUACAGCAACGCGAGGAUGUCUGAAGAGAAAUGAACUCAUUCUCUGAAGUUCCUUGUAGUAAAGGAAAACAUAUGGAGGAUUUCCUGCUGAGGCUUCCCUACCGAGGCACACUUUCGAGGGGGUGUGGAAUAUACUUGGUCAGGCGCGCAGUUUUCUAGACUCAGCAAUUAUCUGCUUAGCACUGAGUCCACAUGGGCUGCUGCUCUGCAGAGAACUCUGUGAUUGUGCAAUAACCCCACCAGCAGCGAUGACCUGUGGUCGACAGUAUGUUAGCAUUCUGUUUGUCGUGGUCCCUGUUUCAAUUGCAGCACACCUCCAGGACCAGGUAAAUGGCCAUAAGGAUGGUCUGUCGGAAGAUAGGCGUCAUUCCCCCUUUGUUUUUCCCCUCAUCUCUUCAUGUUCAUCUCUGAUUUCUUAUCUGAAAUAAACAGCUUCCACGUCUGUGCCUUUGCGAUCGCAUUCCCAACAAUUGAUUUAAAACGUUGCCAGUUACACCUUCUCCACCUGAAAGUGUGCUUCUAAGGACAGCACAUCUCAAAAUCUGUUGUGAAGACACCGGUUGGCUCAGGAAUAUUAACUUGCACAUACGAGGAAAGCGACACUGCAGUGAGCCAUUCACAGCUGCAGAGGCCUGCCUACUGACCCCACCAAUUAAUAUUCUUUAGUUUGAAAAAGAAAAUCGAAACCAGCGAAUACCUCCAGACCUCGCCCUUAAAACCACAACUUGGGGUGACAGUGGGGACACUACCACCCAUCAGAGGAGUUUCACCCUAUUAUUCUAGCAAGGGCAUUGACAAGGCAUCGACUAUGUAUUCAUCUCAAUUACUCUAGUUAUUUGCUCUCAAUCCAUAUCCGUCCUUUAGGUUACAAACUGCUGUUAAACUUCUUCUAAAAAUAAACUUCACGUGAUCUUUCUUUCCAUGUCAAUGUCUUUGUGCAGGAAUUUACUUCGUGGGGCAGAUGUUUCUAUAAGCCCAGCUGAUUGACAGCUUGAAUGAUUAAAUGAAACAAAGAUGGGAAUGCAAAAAGAGGUGACUAAGUUGUGUGUGGAGCUACAGCCUGUGUGGUAGGGACAAAGAAAGAAAAAGCCUGCAGACCCAUCUUGUAUAUGAUAGAGGGUCACUAGAUGACUAUGAAUACUUAGGCCUUUUUUGUUGUUGUUUUCUGAGUUGUGUAGUCAGAGGUAUCAUUAUAAUUGCAUUUAAGGAAUGUCCCUAAAUGCUCUCCAAAUCUUCCUAGAGUAGACAUGGCAGGAAGGCAUCUUGGGGAUACAGGGGUGUGGAACCCCGAGUUCCCAGGGGACAAAAUGGAUCACGCCAUAUAAGGGUGGUAUAUGAUGACACAGUUGGAAGCAGAAUCUGGACACCACCAAGGACGGAAGCCAGGGAAGCAGGGCUCGGAGUGAGAAGCACGGUGAAGCUAUAAGUGGAGGGAAGAAUAGUGCAGAUUAAUCAUAGGUCAGGAUGCGGAGCAGGAAGUGGUCAGAGCAAGCUGUCAGGACUAAGACCUUGAGGGAGAAAAGAAGGAUGUUGGAUACUUUCUGCUGGCCUGGCGGAAGGGUGACUCAGUUGCCCCAAUUUGGACUUUCUGGGUUGUAAAAUGGAAGGUCCUGCCUCUGGGAACCUUCUCAGUCUGUCCUAAUGCUAAAGCUGGACAGGAAGCUGGGAAAUCAACCUGAAAAGAAAAAUCUGAAGUCCAGUAGCCACGCUUUCCCAGCGCUCAGUCUCCUGUCCUUGGAGAACUUGCAUAAAAAGCAGGGAGCCACUCUGCAGCUCCUGGGACCACUUGGAGCCCCUGGAGAAAGAGAGGGGCUCUGUUCUCAGUGAGCAAGUGGUUUCGCUAUGAGAGCAAGCACCAUGUGAACAGGAAGAGAAUAACCUCGAAACAACCUGUAAACAAGUGUGAGGUCAUCCGUCCUAGUGGACAGUUUCAGGCCUGGCCUUUUCACCCCAAAGCCAGGCAGCAUUUUUUCCAGAAUAGCUGACCUGCAUGACUUGAUUACUGCCUGUCACUCUGAACUCUCUGCUUCAAUUUUCCCAAACUCCCCAGCCAUCCCAAAUCUCACUCAAGUUUUAAGUUUAAUUCCUUUUGUCUUAAUCAGGAGCACCAAUCCGACUUUUUGGGCCCCGUGAGUGUAGCUAUGGUUUCACUCAUCAAUCCAUCAGUAAAUCAGCCCAUUAUCAACUAUUUGUGGAGCUGUUCCUAUGAGCUGGGCACCAUGCUGAGCUUGGGGUGAAGGGCUGAAUCAUAGAGACAGGACCUCUGGCCUCAUGGAAAGAAAGGGGAAACCCAGAAACAGAGAGUGGAAAAUUUCAGAUUGUGAUGUGUUUCGAGAGAAGCCAAAGAGUCACUGUGGGCUGGGGUGAGGAUUCUGUCCCAGGUGGAGUGGCCAGAGAACGUCCUUCUGCAAAGGUGACAUGUUAGCCGAAUGUCAGAAGCUGAGAAGGACUGUGUGGCUCCGUGAACUAUAAGAUUUGGAAGUUCAAAGACAGAGGUAGGAAAGAACCUGGCAUGCCCCCCAAAUAGAAAGGAUACUGGGGUGGCACAGUGGGCGAGUAGGGGAGGGUUAGAGGCAGGCAGAGACCAGAUGCUGUGUGGUCUCAUAGGAAGGAUGAGCAGGUUUGGACUUUCUUCGAGGGCAGGCCAAAACUAGGGGAAGGAUUGAACCAGGGGAAUGUCUCUGAUCUGAUUUAUGUUUCCCAAAGGAUCUUCCUGUGCUGUGGUGGAACUGGGAGGGAGGAAAGAGUGAAAAUGAGGAGAGCAGUUGAGAGGGGGUGCUGGCUGGGAUAAAAUGGUACCUCUGCUGUUCCAGGGAAGAGAAUGGCUUUGAGAUGUAUUUUGGAAUACGGCAACGCUGCCUCCUGAAAUGGUCCUUUCACUGGGUUGUUCAGGUGUUAAUUUUUCAUUCCCACCUGCUUGAGGGAAACCCUAGGGAGCAGGGACCUCGUUUUCCCUUCAUGACCCUGCUCCCAGCACCUAACAUGUGCCUCCCACAGAGAAGGCAUUCGUGUUACUCCACCAGCUACGUAUCAGGUGGUGAAAGUGAAAAGCUACAACAGAACACGAUGGGUCUCGGAACAACAGAGGGAGAAAACCUCACUCCGAGAAGGGCAUCUUCGCUUCUGGAGUCUGAGCAUUUGGGUGGACACAGCAGGGCAGCUCACUCAGCAUCUUUCCCAACUUCUAGAGUGCUUCCUUCAUGGAAGAGCCUGCAUAGCCCCAGAAAAGAUGCUUUUCUCUGAUGCCCUCGCAGCCAGGGUUCUGCAGGCUUCCCAGGCUUGGAUUUGGUCCUGAUGCGAGUGAAGAAGAGUGAUGGUCCAGGAUGCAUCCAUUUUGCAGGUGUGAGGAUUAGCAGCCCAAUACUGGGUUAGGGCCAGCUUCCUGGGCUGUGAUCAGAGAAGUCACAUGGGCCCAUGUCUAGAAGGGCCCACACGUGGUUUAAGACAUUUGUUGCUAUUUUGAUUCUUAAUAAUUUUGAAUGAGGGGCUGCACUUUCAUUUUUCACUGAGCCAUUUAAAUUACGUAGCGGUCCUGCCAACAGUUCUGGGGUCAGCCUCCUCUACUCCGGAGGGAUAUGGUGGCGGGGGGGUGUCCCCAGAGCCUGCAAAUGUGGCAACAGCUUCCAGUGCUCUGGAAACUGCCCCAGGGGCAAGGACCUAAGAGUCACCAGCUGAGGACAGUGGUGCCCUGGUCCUUGUCUUCCUGGUUGCAACAGGGGGAGGCCAGUUCUGCUGGAAGGGGUUGUCUCAGGAGCCUUUUUUUUUUUUUUUUUUUUUUUUUUUUUUUUAGGGCUGCACCCAUGGCAUAUCGAAAUUCCCAGACUAGGGGUCUAAUCAGAGCUACAGCUGCUGGCCUACACCACAGCCACAGCAACGCUGGAUCCUUAACCUGCUGAGCAAAGCCAGGGAUCGAACACACAACCUCAUGGUUCCUAGUUGGAUUCGUUUCCACUGCGCCAUGACGGGAGCUCCUCAGGAGCCAUUUUUUGAGGCCCAUCCUAGAUUUCGAUUGUUGGUUCUCUAAUGAUUCUGUGAGCAAAAUUCCCUUUCUGUUAAGAGCAGAUGCCAUUAUUUUCAACCGUACUCAUCCCUAAUUAAGGACACACUUGGAGGAAAAGCCUGGCUUCUGAAAGCUUUUUCAGUGCUUCAUCAUCGGACUUUAUACUAUUGUUGAGGUGGUGGCACUUAGCAGAAACUUUGAGAUUCC